rnacentral:misc_RNA from 1 species
GAUGAAGAACGUAGCGAAAUGCGAUACUUGGUGUGAAUUGCAGAAUCCCGUGAACCAUCGAGUCUUUGAACGCAAGUUGCGCCCGAAGCCUCGGCUAAGGGCACGUCUGCCUGGGCGUCACGCAUCGCGUCUCCCCCAAACCGCCAAGGCGGAGGGGAAGGAAGAUGGCUUCCCGUGCCUCACCCGGCGCGGUUGGCCUAAAUUUGGAGCCCGCGGCACUUAGCUCACGCGGCGAUAGGUGGUGAACAAGGCCUUGGCCGUGCAAACAACCCGCUGCGAAGCUCUAUGUCACGUGCGCUCGUCGGACCCUUUGAAGUUGCCUUCGGUGACUUAAAACCUUUGCGACCCCAGGUCAGGCGGGGCUACCCGCUGAAUUUAAGCAUAUCAAUAAGCGGAGGA